rnacentral:rRNA from 1 species
GACGAACGCUGGCGGCGCGCCUAACACAUGCAAGUCGAACGGAGUCAAGAGGAGCUUGCUUUUCUUGACUUAGUGGCGAACGGGUGAGUAACGCGUGAGUAACCUGCCCUGGAGUGGGGGACAACAGUUGGAAACGGCUGCUAAUACCGCAUAAGCCCACGGAUCUGCAUGGAUCUGCGGGAAACGGAUUUAUUCGCUCUAGGAUGGACUCGCGUCCAAUUAGCUAGUUGGUGAGGUAACGGCCCACCAAGGCGACGAUUGGUAGCCGGACUGAGAGGUUGAACGGACACAUCGGGACUGAGACACGGCCCAGAAUCCUACGGGAGGCAGCAGUGGGGGAUAUUGCAAAACGGGGGAAACCCUGAUGCAGCGACGCCGGGUGGAGGAAGAAGGUUUUAGGAUAGUAAACUCCUGUCGUUAGGGACGAUAAUGACGGUACCUAAAAAGAAAGCACCGGCUAACUACGUG